GACGAUGACGAGGAGGCAUGCAUGCAUGCAUGAUCAGUUGCUGUGCUGCUUUUACUCUUCUUUUUCACUUCUUUGAACUUGUUUUAUAUACGUACGCGAAUUAGGAUCUUGGUGAUCAUAAUAUGGUAGUACUCCUAUGAUCAAUAAGUGACCGUUGGAAGAAGAAAUAAAUGAUCGGUAUAAUUUGCCUGCAUAUUUGUAACGGGUUAGAUGGAAUUAUACGGAAUAUAAUGAAACAAAUAAAUCGACCACCAUCGUGGUCAGCAU
rnacentral:sRNA from 1 species